rnacentral:rRNA from 1 species
AUGUGUGUUGAUUCUACCUUGCAACAAAUUGAAGGCGUAAUGUACUUUUUUGAUAAGUACAGAGAUGAAGGAUUUGCAUCCUGUUUGACUAUCGCCAAAGGUCUUGCAAUUGACAUGGGCAUAGAACCAUCAUUUCCAAUAAAACGUAAUGUUACUAGGAAGAAACAAUUUGAUAAACCUGAUAACGAAGAAGAAGUUCUAAAAGCUGAGAAGGCGUUCGAAGUUAAUUAUUUCUUAGUUGUGGUUGAUAUUGCAAAGAUCUCUUUGACAACUAGAUUCAAAGAACUCAAAGUGUUCAAAAAUAUAUUUGGGUUCUUACUUAGCUCAAAAGACAUGAAGUUAUUGGAUGAUGUUGAACUACGCAAAUGUUGUGCUAAGUUUGUAGAAACAUUUUCAUGAAAUGGUUCAUGCGAUGUUGAGUUAGAUGCUCUUUUUUCUGAAUUAAGACUGCUGCAAAUGACUUUACCAGAAUCAGAUUUGCCAUUGCAUGCUAUGGAGAUUUUUGAGUUUGUUAGAGACAUUGACUGUUUUCCAAAUGUUUUAAUUGCUUAUCAAAUUUUGUUCACUGUACCAAUGACCGUAGUAUCAGCAGAGCGUAGCUUUUCGAAGUUGAAAUUGUUAAAGAACUAUUUGAGGUCAACAAUGUCACAAGAAAGAUUAAAUGGUCUUGCUACUUUAUGUAUUGAGAAAGAUAAGUUGGAUGAAAUAAAUGUUGAUGCAAUAAUUGAUGACUUUGCUUCUAGAAGUGUUAGACAAAUUUCUAAGUUCUAG